rnacentral:lncRNA from 12 species
AUGUUCACAGUACAGGGCUGUGACAGCCCGGAGCACCCAGAUUUGGGGGUGCUGCUCGGACACGGGGCUGUGACAGCCCGCAGCACCGAGGGACGAGCGCUCCAUCACCCACCCGCCGCAUCCCCGCCCGUGAUCCCGGGCAUGCCGAGAGGAGCCGGGGGCAGCGGGGCACAGGGAAGGGAGGGGAUGCCGAGCGGGGCACAGGGAAGGGAGGGGAUGCCGAGAGGAGCCGGGGGCAGCGGGGCACAGGGAAGGGAGGGGAUGCCGAGAGGAGCCGGGGGCAGCGGGGCACAGGGAAGGGAGGGGAUGCCGAGAGGAGCCGGGGGCAGCGGGGCACAGGGAAGGGAGGGGAUGCCGAGAGGAGCCGGGGGCAGCGGGGCACAGGGAAGGGAGCGCUAUUGCCACCCACCUGCCGGGGGUGACAUCCUGUUAUACAGGCACCUGCCGGGGGUGACACCCUCCCCCAGUGACUCCGCACCGGGGUGCGUUCGCUAUUGCCACCCACCUGCCGGGGGUGACACCCUCCCCCAGUGACACCGCACCGCGGUGCGUUCUCUACUGCCACCCCGACACCUCCGGGGUGACUCCGCACCGGGGUGCCUUCGCCAUUGCCACCCACCUGCCGGGGGUGACAUUCUAUUAUAGAGGCACCUGCCGGGGGUGACACCCUCCCCCAGUGACACCGCACCGGGGUGCGUUCUCUGCUGCCACCCACCCACCUGACUGGGGUGAUGCCCUGCUCGGGUGACACUGUUCUCGGGGUACAUUCUCUGUGGCCAUGCCCCUGCGGGGGGUGACACCCUCCCGGAGUGACACUGUUCUCGGGCUUCAUUCUCUGUUGCCGCCUACGUGACAGCGGUGAUGCCCUUCCCCAGUCACACUGUUCAG